rnacentral:lncRNA from 1 species
ACCAUUUUUCUAUCGAUAGAUGUAUCUUAUAGAGAGAUACUAAUUUAUUUACAAAGUUUUUAUUCAUUCAUAAAUAUACUUUUAAUUACAACUUUUGAUAAUGUUGUAUAUCGUGUUUAGGUUCCUAUGCAAAUUGAAGUCUUAUUGUCGUAAUAAGUAUUAUCCAGAAUGAUCAAUUGCUGAAGGUUACUUAGCUGAGGAAUGUAUAACUUUCUGCUCUAGAUAUUUAGAAGAUGUUGAAACAAGACUGGAUAGGCCAAGUAGAAAUGUUGGGCUCACUAAUCAUAACUUAG